CUCUGGGAUUGCUCCAUCAGAGCCCUGGGCGUGGAACAUUCCUCUAUAUGGAAGCUAAGUGCUGAGCUGUUGCUUGUUCUCUGAUGCUUUUUCCUAAUUAGGAGAAAACUCGCCCCUGUUCUGGGUACAGAGUGAGCUUCCUUGUAUUGCUCAAGUGUGUGCUACAUGGCCAGCCUCACCAGUAUAUCUUCUACCACCACACCACCCAAGGGAAUGUGGGUGUUCUCCAGCAGCCCAAGAGAUCUGUGUUCAGCCCUUCACCCUGCGUUGGCUAUUGGGAAGGACUUCUGGCCAUGGGAGGUGGGUGCACACCACAGGGUACCCUUGAUGCUGGUCUCUUCUUCCUUUGCUGGUCAAUCAAGAGGAAAGUUCAAUUUCUGGGGAGAAAUGUCUAUUGAUUACUACACCAACAGCAAUUACAUUGAAGCCGAGGCCAGUGAGUAAGAUGGCAGUUGGACCAAGGCAAGAUGACCUGCAGAAACUCUGCCAGUGAUAAAACGGAUGCAUCUCUCAACUGACAAAAUAACCACAAAAUCUCUGCUUUUCGUGCCUGUGCCCAGUGUUUGAGGAUGAUGGAAAUCACAGAGAUAAAACACCUAAUACAUUCAUCUGUUUGCAGAAAAGGUUGCAUCUAAUUAGUAGGUAUAAUGUUAAUUCUGACAUAAAUUACAGAAUAAAAUAAUGGACAUGAACAUAAUACAAAAAUGCUAAGGCUGAACAAAUAAAAGAUUAAGAAAAUUUCAAGAUAAAAGGAGGGUUUAGCAAAAGAUACAAAAUGAACAUCUGAACUGGAUUAUUUUUAACCUCUGACUAUUCUAACACAUGUCCUGUAUCUGUGGGUAAUGCUUAGACAGCUUAUUAGAAAUUUAGCAAUUUAUAUAAAUGUCUUAUUUGUUACUGACACAAAUAAAAAUAUAUGCUUAUAUUUGUAUAAUAUUAAGUGAAUGGGAUUAAAAAUAUAUCUUGAAUACCGUCA
rnacentral:lncRNA from 10 species